GAGGUUACAAGAAUUCUGACACUCAUCACAGUGGAUCCAAUAUCUGGUCCCUUGGGUUUCAUACAUGUUAGAAGUAUCUUCUCAGGAGGGAAAAGUCAAUGCCAGUCAUAUCCUUUCUAGUUGUUUGUUUUCUGGUCUUCCUGAAAACCAAGAUGCUGUGCGAAAAACCCUGGAUUGGGAACCAGAAGAGUUGUGUGCUCAUCCUGAUCCUCCCCAGGAGUGAUACUAAACUUGUUUAACAACAGGUGUGGCACAGGUGCCAACCAUUCAGAA